UACAGAGGGUGCGAGCGUUAAUCGGAAUUACUGGGCGUAAAGCGUGCGUAGACGGCUAUCUAAGUCGGGUGUGAAAGCCCCGGGCUCAACCUGGGAAUUGCAUUCGAGACUGAAUAGCUAGGGUGCGGUAGAGGGAAGCGGAAUUUCCGGUGUAGCGGUGAAAUUCGUAGAUAUUCGCAAGAACACCAGUGGCGAAGGCGGCUCACUGGCCCGAUACUGACGCUGAGGCACGAAAGCGUGGGGAGCAAACAGG
rnacentral:rRNA from 1 species